CCAUUCUACUAAAGAAUAUUAAUAAAUUUCUGUAUAAGAAUCUUAUACCAAUAGUUUAUCUAUUUCAGCGAGAACAUUGUGUACUUAAUUUACAAUGCACACACUAAUUACUCAACACGAAAAAUAUAAUUAUGGCAAUAUACCUUAUGCAACAGAUAAAAGUGCACUAUCUUAUCUGAAUUUGCAAUGGAAUGAGAAACGAGGAAAAAAUCAGUGAUUUUGGACUACCAAUAAACCGAAGUAAAAGGAGAUGACGACUGCGAGUUUCGAUCAGGCCUCCAUAGCCAAGAGCUCGAUUUUGGUUUCGCUGCUGCUUUGGGAUGACGCGGUGAUGGUGAAAAAGCUUCUACUCACCGUAUCUCAACACAAUCCGGCUCAUCUCCACCCGUUCUGCUCAGAGAGGCUACCUGUGUCACUACAAAAAAAAAAAGAGGCAUAAAAUGGCAUCAACAUAAUGGAAGUUCUACAAAAUCGCCGAUAUAUUCAUAAAUUAAGGCAAUUUAUGCGGCUGCCGUAAUUUGCUGGUAGGAAGCAGCGGUUUUUUUGCGCUUUUGGUGGUUUUAAAUGCCAUUACCUGCUCCUGCUACUGCUUCAUUGAUAUAAAAAGUAAAAACUCUUCUAUUUCAUUAAUAAACGUUGUCUAUUUGAUCGAGCCUCCAUCCCAAUGUGAGAAACCAAGUAGUUCCUCCAUCGCAACAUGAGAUCUGCAAUCUCAUCCACGAGGCUCUCUUCUGGCAGCAAGCUCCUCCAUCAACACUUUUCUUCUAGCUGUGAUCUCCUCCAUCAACGUUUCACUUCAAUUAAUGGAUCUGCUGUGUGAUUUUUUCUGCUCCACCGUGUUGUCCUCUGUGAAGCUUCUCCUUCUCCAUCUUCGUUGAAUUAGAUGAUGAAGAUAAAUUGAUUUGGAACUAUUUAGAAGAUGGAAGCUACCUAAAUAAGAACCACUUGAAGAUAGACAUCAUCUUUUCAUUCAUCUAGGCACAAAAUGGCAGCAACAUAAUGGCGGUUCUAUAUUAUUGAACUGUAGGGACUUGUCAUUCAACAAAGGUUUAAAAGGUCCUCUGUCUCCAGAGAUAGGAGACUUAAGCAAUCUAAAUAUUCUCAUCUUGGCUGGUUGUAGCUUCAGUGGCAGCAUUCCAGAUGCAUUGGGAAAUCUUUCACAGCUAUCCUUCUUGUUUGUUCACUCGUAUUGACGAUCCAUAUGAACCACCAAGUAGUUAUGAACUGUGGUGUCCAUGACAAAACAAUUAAGGAGAAUCCAUAAGGCACUGGAAUUACUUGGGUGAUCUUGCUUGUUUACAAAGGACUGUAUGGCGAAGUUGACUCAGUGAAGCGAGAGUUUGCAGCAGCUUCUAGUUACUAUUUACAAGCUAAUUCUUUAUGGCCUUCUAGUGGAAAUCCCCAUCAUCAGCUUGCCUUAUUGGCUUCAUAUUCUGAGGAUGAGCUGGCAGCUACUUAUCAUUAUUUUAGGAGUUUGGUUGUAGAGAGUCGAUUUUCAACUGCCAAAGAUAAUUUGAUUGCUGCAUUUGAGAAGGUGGGUUGAAUUCAAGAAUAAAAGUCUAACAAAAGGGUUUCCAAUAUGUUGAAUGGUGAACAGAUAGGUAUGUAUGUAUGAAUUUGAGUUGUGCUGGCUCUUUGUUCUUGAUUCUCAAAUGGAAAAUUGGGAUGACUUCUCAUUGAUUCUAUAAUAUAAGGUUCGUUACAUCACAUCCAUUGCUAUUAUAUAUGGUGCUUAGUUUUACCUAUAGUAGGUAGUAGUAGAAUUAUUAUAUACUUUCUAUGGAAUUGGGAGUAUUGUCCUAUCAAGGCUUGUCCUAUCAACCUUUUUGGCAAUAAGCUUAAUAAGAUGGAAAAAGAAAGGAGGUCAAGAUACAAUUAUAUAUAUUCUUAGACCAUGCUCAAAUCAGAGUCCUUAGGUUUUUAGACUCUCUAUUGCUCAGUUCAUGAUUUCUUAAAGGACUUUACUAUUUUUAAUUUAAAUAAAAUUGAGCUUCUGUUAUCCACUUUAUGGAGGACAUCUUAUACUCCUGCCUUUGUAAGUCUUUUCUUUAUAAUUAAAUUUCUUUCAGUAAAAAUAUACAGGAAAUAAAUAGUACGUGAUGUGUUCAUUCUGGAGUCCAAUUAUGAGCAGGCAGCUUGUUGUUAUAAUACUCAAAAGUUCAUAUAUUUUAUUUUAUUUUUCCAAAAAUUGGUGUUAUAAGUUUGUGAUGUCAUCCAUUUUACCAUUUUUAACAACCUUUUCUUUUUUCUUACAGAUUAUUUGAUGAAAAUGAUUUAUCUGGUUCUAUACCAAAAAUAUUAGGACUAGUUCAGACACUUGAGGUUCUGUAAGUAAUUGCCUCAUAUUUCAGCUUUUUAAUAAAUUUUCUCGACUCUUUCUACCAAUCUAAUUUUAUUUUUUUCUCUUUAUAUUAUUUGACUAGCUAUAUAUUGUUUCUAAUGACAUCUUUUCAUUGUUAUAAUUUCAAUUUAUAAUUGUUGGCUGGAUAGAAAUUUUCUGACAGAAGAGGUUCCUACAAAUCUCUUGUAAGAGAUGAGUUUGGAUAAUGAAGUUGGAGUGUUGGAGCAAGAAACAAAGAUGUUGUAGCAAGUUUCCGGGAUGAAACUCACACAAGAGACCAAGAAACUAAGGCAGGCUUGUUUGAAAGUUAAUUACAAAAGGAGGAAACUUUUGGCCUCCAAAUCUUAUUUAUCAUCACUUACUUAAGCUAUUUGUCUUGUAUAUUCAUAUUCUAAGUAAUAAAAAUAGCACUUAUUAGAUGGUUUAAA